GGCCUGAGAGGGUGAUCGGACACACUGGAACUGAGACACGGUCCAGACUCCUACGGGAGGCAGCAGUAGGGAAUAUUGCUCAAUGGGGGAAACCCUGAAGCAGCAACGCCGCGUGGAGGAUGAAGGUUUUAGGAUUGUAAACUCCUUUUGUAAGAGAAGAUUAUGACGGUAUCUUACGAAUAAGCACCGGCUAACUCCGUGCCAGCAGCCGCGGUAAUACGGAGGGUGCAAGCGUUACUCGGAAUCACUGGGCGUAAAGAGCGCGUAGGCGGGAAAGUAAGUCAGAUGUGAAAUCCUGUGGCUUAACUACAGAACUGCAUUUGAAACUGCUUUUCUAGAGUGUGGGA
rnacentral:rRNA from 1 species